CGUCUCUCGGCAACGGAUAUCUCGGCUCUCGCAUCGAUGAAGAACGUAGCGAAAUGCGAUACUUGGUGUGAAUUGCAGAAUCCCGUGAACCAUCGAGUCUUUGAACGCAAGUUGCGCCCGAAGCCGUCAGGCCGAGGGCACGCCUGCCUGGGUGUCACG
rnacentral:rRNA from 1 species